rnacentral:rRNA from 1 species
AGGGUUCGAUUCUGACUCAGAACGAACGCUGGUGGCGUGUCUUAUACAUGCAAGUCGAGCGAGGCAGCAAUGCCGAGCGGCGAACGGGUGAGUAACGCGUAAGCAAUCUGCCCCAUAUCAGGAAAUACCCGUGCCAACGCGCGGUUAAUGUCCAGGAGAGUGGCCCUCCGCAUGGAGGGUUGACUAGAGAUUUAUCGGUAUGGGAUGAGCUUGCGUCCGAUUAGCUAGUUGGCGGGCAACGGCCCACCAAGGCGACGAUCGGUAGCCGGCCUGAGAGGGUGAUCGGCCACAUUGGGACUGAGAUACGGCCCAGACUCCUACGGGAGGCAGCAGUAGGGAAUAUUGCACAAUGGGGGAAACCCUGAUGCAGCAACGCCCACGUGUGGGAAGAAGCAUUUCGGUGUGUAAACCACUGUCAUGAGGGAAUAAGGCCCGCCUUCGGACGGGAUUGAAUGUACCUUGAAAGGAAGCACCGGCAAACUUCGUGCCAGCCGCCGC